UAGCUGUUCAAGUUGUCAGGAUUCAUUUCAACCCCACUGAAAUGUCAUCAACUUUUCAUUUUCCAACAAUGGAGGACAGAGCAACCUUGCGGUAGAAUAUUUGCUGCAUGUCCACAUCAGAAUGGCAUAUUUCUGAAUUCCAAGUUCCAAGAAGAAAACCUACUUUCAGAUUCUCUUCCUCAGUAAAGGUAGC
rnacentral:lncRNA from 1 species